AGCCCUGGGGGAUGUGGCCUUGCAUGAUGGCCAGGACUGCUUGAAGAGCAGGGGCCAUUUGAGAGAGCCCAGAAGGGGCUGAGACAGUUCAAACCAGGGUACUGUGAUAGGCCUGAGCUCAGGAAUAGGGCUGCAGAUAAAGAGACAUUAUGGAGGGCUUUGGGAUAUGCCCAGUUGGACUUGUGUCCUGGAAGGGGGUUGAUAUUUUUUUAUUUCUCAUACUGUCUGUGUGUGACUUGGCUGCAGGGCUGAGUCACUGAAGACCUGACAUAAGCUAAGAGAGCAGGCAUGUGCAGUGAGAUGGGGGUACUUGUGAGAGGAAGAAGAGAUACAAGUACAGAUCCAGGGCAUGAUUGAGCUCCAAAAUAUUAGGACUGGAUCAUCCUUUUUGCAUCUGCAAGCAGAGAACCAAAAUUCUCCCUCAGGAGGGCAUGGAACUGGGUAGCUGCAACAUUCCUCACAGCUUGCAGAUGUUCCUCCAUAAAGGAUCUCUAAAGAUCAGGCUCCACGUGUGGAAGAUCCAAGGUCACUCCAUGGCUUUGCCUUCUUCCAAUGCAGCCAGAUGUCCCAGUGCAUAUUAAUGCAGAUCCAAUCUCAUAUUCCUGUUUGCCCCAUGGAUUUGGGGGGGUGAGGAGAAUCUGGCAUAGUGUGGCCGGUCCUUUCUCCCCAGAUCACAUGCCCUGCCUAUCCUCUGCUCACCUGUUUAUCUGGCUCCUCCUGCCCAGGGACUUCUAUGUGGGGAGAGGCAUACAUGCUGUGGAGGCAGCUUUCCCAAACUACUGCUCCUUCCUGGCUCAGAUCUGGUGGGAGGGAAGGUUGGCUUGCUGUGUUCAUGGAAACAUAGGGGAGUCCCUAUAACACAGGGAAGGGGACAACAGAGAAGGAAGCAGGAGGGAGGUGGUUUCCACAAGCUAGGUCCAUGAAGCUAGUCGUUUGCACAGUGCAUGCAUUGUACACUGAUCUUUGAUGCUGACGCUGUCAUUUUAAAAUUUAUUUUUAAGUUUUCCUUUUCCUUAAUUUGGUGCAUGAGGGUGGCUCAGCCACUUAA